GAGUUUAAUAAAACUCCUAAACCCCUGUGAACUUACUGGUGUUUGGCUCGCCAGAUAUAGUCUGGUCCGUAAGCAAAUCGACUGCCUGCCUGUGUAACAGGCAGGUAAGCUUUUGUCGCGGGGUCCCGGAUCAACCCGGGCUAGAUAGCCACUUAACUAUAUACUUUUUAUAAAAUCUGUGAACUUACUAGGUUGGAUUCUCGCCAGAGAUAGUCUGGUUUCUGCUUCGCGGAUCGCCUACCCGUGACACCUGUCACAGGCAGGUAUGCUUCUGCCGCGGGUCCGUAAGUAAAUCAUCUGUUUCGCAAGGGACGGCGAUUUAUCUGUGGAAGAGGUCCGCUAACUAUAUUCUUAGUAUAGUUUGUUCACUAGAUCAAACAUUCUGAAUAAAAACUUAAACUAGUUAAAACUUUCAACAACGGAUCUCUUGGUUCUGGCAUCGAUGAAGAACGCAGCGAAAUGCGAUAAGUAAUGUGAAUUGCAGAAUUCAGUGAAUCAUCGAAUCUUUGAACGCACAUUGCGCCCAUUAGUAUUCUAGUGGGCAUGCCUGUUCGAGCGUCAUUUCAACCCUUAAGCCCCUGUUGCUUAGCGUUGGGAGCCUACAGCCUGCUGUAGCUCCUUAAAGGUAGUGGCGGAGUCGGUUCACACUCUAGACGUAGUAAAAUCUUUAUGUCGCCUAUGGAUGAGCCGGCGCCUUGCCGUAAAACCCCUAAUCUUUCACAAGGUUGACCUCGGAUCAGGUAGGAAUACCCGCUGAACUUAAGCAUAUCAAUAAGCGGAGGAAAAGAAACCAACAGGGAUUGCCCUAGUAACGGCGAGUGAAGCGGCAACAGCUCAAAUUUGAAAUCUGGCCUUCGGGUCCGAGUUGUAAUUUGCAGAGGAUGCUUUGGGCGCGGUGCCUUCCGAGUUCCCUGGAACGGGACGCCUUAGAGGGUGAGAGCCCCGUACGGUUGGACACCAAGCCUCUGUAAAGCUCCUUCGACGAGUCGAGUAGUUUGGGAAUGCUGCUCUAAAUGGGAGGUAAAUUUCUUCUAAAGCUAAAUAUUGGCCAGAGACCGAUAGCGCACAAGUAGAGUGAUCGAAAGAUGAAAAGCACUUUGAAAAGAGGGUUAAAUAGCACGUGAAAUUGUUGAAAGGGAAGCGUUUGCGACCAGACCUUUUCCCAGCGGAUCAUCCGGUGUUCUCACCGGUGCACUUCGCUGGGUUGAGGCCAGCAUCGGUUUCCGCAGGGGGAUAAAAGCCUGGGGAACGUAGCUCCCUCGGGAGUGUUAUAGCCCCUCGCAUAAUACCCUUGCGGGGACCGAGGACCGC
rnacentral:rRNA from 1 species